rnacentral:rRNA from 1 species
GACGAACGCUGGCGGCAUGCCUAACACAUGCAAGUCGAACGGACAGAACAGGGUAGCUUUUCGGAGUGGAAUUGGGAACUUAUGGGUGGAAGGUGGGGUAACUCCUGGACAACCUACCAUGUAAAGCGGAAUAACCUCGAGAAAUCGAAGCUAAUAUCCCAUAAUAACCUUGCUUCGCGUGAAGUGAGGAGGAAAGGCGGCCUUAGCGCGGGCGAUAUCAGAUGGUUGCGGGUCUGAUUAGCUAGUUGGUGAGGUAAAGGCUGACCAAGGCGACGAGCAGUAGCCGGCCUGAGCGGGUGAGCGGCCACACUGGGACUGAGAGACGGCCAAAAGUCCUACGGGAGGACGCAGUGGGGAAUCGUCCGCAAUGGGAGAAUGCCUGACGGAGCAAUGCCGCGUGAGUGCAGGAGGCCUUCGGGUUGUAAAGCUCUGUCCUUAUCGAGGAGAGGGUGUUGUAGUAAUUGACAAUACUAGGACGGUAGUUGGUAAGGAAGCCCCGGCUAACUAUGUG